rnacentral:rRNA from 1 species
UACGUAGGUGGCGAGCGUUUGUCCGGAUUUACUGGGCGUAAAGAGCGCGCAGGCGGCUGGUCAAGUCCGAUGUGAAAGCUCCCGGCUUAACUGGGAAAUUGCAUCGGAAACUGAUCGGCUGGAAGGUGGGAGAGGGUAGCGGAAUUCCCGGUGUAGUGGUGAAAUGCGUAGAUAUCGGGAGGAACACCAGUGGCGAAAGCGGCUACCUGGCCCAUUCUUGACGCUGAGG